rnacentral:rRNA from 1 species
GUGUCAAGGCCCGGGAACGUAUUCACCGCGGCAUUCUGAUCCGCGAUUACUAGCGAUUCCAGCUUCAUGUAGUCGAGUUGCAGACUACAAUCCGAACUGAGACGUUAUUUUUGGGAUUCGCUCCGGAUCACUCCCUCGCUUCCCUUUGUUUACGCCAUUGUAGCACGUGUGUAGCCCAAAUCAUAAGGGGCAUGAUGAUUUGACGUCAUCCCCACCUUCCUCCAGGUUAUCCCUGGCAGUCUCCUUAGAGUGCCCAGCUUUACCUGCUGGCUACUAAGCAUAAGGGUUGCGCUCGUUGCGGGACUUAACCCAACAUCUCACGACACGAGCUGACGACAACCAUGCACCACCUGUCUAUGACGCCCCGAAGGGAUGGGAACAUUACU